rnacentral:rRNA from 1 species
CAGUCAUACCAACGGGAAAUCAACCUUUUGAGCUCGGUCUCGUGGGUUUUGAAGAGUUUCAAAGCCUUCGGAUUCGCGGGAUUGGGAUCUCUCGGUGUACUUUCUCGUACGGUUAGUCAACAUCGGUUUUGAAUGUCAUUAAAUGACUGGAGGAAUGUAGCUUCGAUCUCGUAUUGAAGUGUUAUAGCCUUUGGUAGAUGUGAUGUUUGAGACCGAGGAUUGCAACGGAUACCCUUCAGGGCUAUUCGUCUGAUCUCUGAUACGUUGCCCUGAUGUUGAAAGCUUGCUUAUGAUGUUAGGGUAUUACGGUCAAAAGGUUAGAACGAAUUACAUUCGUUAAGGAUGUUGACGUAAUGACUUUAAACGA